CGGGGGAAAGCGCGACCGCAGCACCCCACUAGCAAAAAUUAUGCAGUCAAGAUUCCCACGUUUGGGGAAUUUGCAGGGGUCAACACAGCCGGAGUGCAAUGGUGAGCCUCGCCCUGGGUGAACCGCUUCUUGAUCAUGGUAUCUCCCCUGCCAGGUAAG
rnacentral:snRNA from 1 species